CUCGAUUAGGCCGUGAUUUAUCCGAAAGAAAUAUAAUUAUAGCUCCAAAUAAAAUAAUCAGCAUUGAAGAGCGAUUUCCUUAACGAGAUGGAGCGGGGUGGAAGCCACGGAGUAGCAGCGCCUCAUUAGGGCCCUAAUGAGACUUUGGGGUGAUCCCGAUAAUUAUCGAAAUGUGUAAAAUAAGGAUCAAGUCAAAUAUGUGACCGCAGCACGAGCUGUUUUAUCAUUCAUAACCAGAACCAACAUUAGUCACGUGACUGACAGGGCGUCCCAAAGUGAUGCUGUCUUUACUGCAGGCUGCUCUUGAAGAAAUACAUCAUGGAUUUCUGGCUCAAAGGUUGGCUGCAUUUGGUUCCUUCAAUAGGACAUCAUGACAGAGGGAGAGGAGACUGGACAUCGGUGCACAGGACAAAGUGACACAGCAAAAAUAAAGGUUUCCUCAGUUUGCUUACACUCAAAUGUGACGCCUCAUUUCUCUCAGGGAUCAAGCCACUGUGGGAAUGUAGUCCUAGAAACAUCCACUGAAAGAGGACUUUACGGAUGCAGAUUCCAAAUGGGUUGUUCAAGGAACUAGUUCUUAUCACUUCGACUUUAAUUACAAACUUGAGCAAUCUAUGUACAUUAUAAGAAACAGAUUUAGGGACAGGCACAAGAAGAAAAGUGGAAGAUCUUAGUUUGCAUUUAAAUAAUUGAUUGAAAUGUUGAGAAUAAAAUGAGAGUAAAAGAUCUUCCUCUGUUGAUUGUCUUUUACACGUCCCUCAUACGUUUCUGUAAAAAUAGAAAGCACUGUAAUGUCAUCUUACUUCAAUUCAACCAAGCAUUGUACAAACAGCUGGUAAGUGAUGUGUAAUUGGAGAAAAGACAGCAGACAGAGUACGUUUGUGUUUGUUUAAUCGUGUCUAUGAAGUCAUGAAGACUAUGUUUUAGUAAGAAGAGUAAAGCCUGGAGAAAUAACUGAUCUAAACCGAAUGUUUUCAAGUCUUCUUCUUGGAUUUUACACAUGCGAGAGGAUCGAUCAGAUGUGGUGACACGUUAACAGUAAACAGUAGAAAUAAUCACAUCAAGAAAAGAGAACAGACUCAGUUCGGCUCCACGGUUGCAAACAGGGCCUGACGAAAGGAAUGGACAUUUAAAGCAAGUGAAAUCUCACAGUGAGAACAGAAACAGAGCAGAAAUCAUCCUUCAAGCUUCACUGAGUCCAAUAUGUUUCGAGCCUCUUUGAACUCCUCUGAUUCGUUUAAAUCCUCUUCUGUUUCCUGGGAAGACACAAACACACACACACAAGGGUUUUCUGUUAUUGCCAUUUCAGAAAAAUACAGCCACCUCCUGCACACGAGAUAAGGAGGAACAGCGAGGUACUUACAAAAAAAUCCACAACUUUAUCUUUAUCCACCUUUUUUGUGCCGCGGUUAGAAAAGCUUGAGGUCAUAUUUCAG